GCCAGAGGUGCCAAGCGUUAGGCGGAAUCACUGGGCUUAAAGCGUGUGUAGGCGGAUCGUUAAGUACCUUGUGAAAUCCCACGGCUCAACCGUGGAACUGCUGGGUAUACUGGCGAUCUUGAGCCACCUAGGGGCGAGCGGAACAAGCGGUGGAGCGGUGAAAUGCGUAGAUAUCGCUUGGAACGCCAAUGGUGAAAACAGCUCGCUGGGGGUGUGCUGACGCUGAGACACGAAAGCCAGGGGAGCGAACGGG
rnacentral:rRNA from 1 species